rnacentral:lncRNA from 1 species
GUCCGUAAUUUAGCGAUUUGCCAAGCAAGCAGCAGAUGGAGUAGAGCAGACCUCUUUUCUCGACUGCAGUGGCUUGGCAAUGGAUGCCCUAAUAAGAAGAUUGACUUGACUUUUUAAUGCGAUUCCGUGUAUCACACAACUUACAAGACAAUAUGUUUCAUUAUAUAUCUAUGAUCAUAUUUAGGAUACAUGUUAAUGACCAUUGUAAGAUUGUGUGUAACAUACAAGACUUGGGCCACUUGCAUCAAGGUCAAGUUCAGAUAUAGAAUUCAGCUGCAUACAGUCUACCACAUAGCUAAUAAACCCUAUGAAAGGAGCUGUCGGUAUUUCCAUGGUGCAGCUAUCACCAGUUUCAAAAUGGAAACAGAUGGUGAGUCUCAAGCGAAAAAGAAAAGUGGACCUCUCCUAACAACUUAAAAGGAGAACAUUAUCUUGCAUAGCAUUUUUCUCCGAAGGGAUUGAUUCAAACAAGCACAUUGUGACAAGUAUCCCACUGAAGGCAAGUUCUACAACAAGGAGACGGACUCCACCAAUAUAUCGACGUUCAAAAAGGGCUUAAAUUUGUUUACCGAUCAAAACUAUGCCAUAAGACAUGAAUCACCCUCCAAUUAAAACAAAACAUAUGGAGAAGUCAGUCACUUUCAAAUCAAGUAACAAUUUAAGAUAUGAGACGAUUCUAAUGACGACAAUGAAUAUGGAGAAGUAUAAUGUACUUGAAAAUGUUUAAUGGAAAAAGAGGAAUGUGAAACUUUUUUGUAUUUAUUUGGUUCUCAUGAAGGCUUUGUCAUUGAUAAGGCAGAUAAGUUGAUUUAUUUCUUUGUUUUCAACAAAGAGAAAAGUUGAAAAGAAAAGCAUUUUAGGAGUACUAAAAGAUGUUAUAGAAAUAUUUGAGAUAGAAUGUAAAAACUGGCCCUUCUUAGGGUCUGCUAAUUUAGGGCUAAAAUAAAAUAAAAACAUAUAAUUGA